rnacentral:rRNA from 1 species
UACGUAGGCAGCGAGCGUUGUUCGGAGUUACUGGGCGUAAAGCGUGCGUAGGCGGUUGUCUAAGUUUGGUGUGAAAUCUCCUGCUUAACUGGGAGGGUGCGCCGAAAACUGGGUGACUGGAGUGUCGGAGAGGUAAGCGGAAUUCCUGGUGUAGCGGUGAAAUGCGUAGAGAUCAGGAGGAACACCUGUGGUGUAGACAGCUUACUGGACGAUAACUGACGCUGAGGCACGAAAAGCGUGGGUAGCAA